AAGGAAACAUUUUGUCACUCUUUCUCUUCCAAACCUCCUGAAGAAUGAAACCAUCUGAGUGUAAUCGAAACCAUGGCAGUGUGUUCAACCAUCUAUCGAACAAACCCUACGCGUCAUCCUCCAGCAACACGGUGGCUUUAGGGUUCUGUCGCAAGUCAGGGUUAUUAGGAUUCGGGCAGAUGAAUCUUGUGGUUCACAUGUUUCACAUGUUUGAUUCAGGUCGAGUUGGAGUGACUUUACGGCGACAGAAACUAACAUGGCGUAGUGAAGAUUUCUGGCGAGGCGAUUAGGGUUCCGACGAGCCCUUUCAGUGCAAGACUGCCAUCGCUGUCAAAAAGAUCUGAACCGUUUAUGUGUGUUGGUGUGUCGCUGAUGAUGUCGGAAGCUAUAAAGUCGCUUGCUGUGCUGUUUGCAAAUGCAUUGCUAGGUGGUAAGGUUCAACUAUUUUCAAGGUUUUUUUCUUACCAACCUCAUAACUUAUCAUGUCGGUGAGUUUUCGGAUCCCUAUUCUUUGUUAUUUUAGAUUUGUGGUUGUUUUGAUGCAUAUUAAGGUUGAGAUGUGUGAACUGGUUGAAUUAUGGUUUACAUCUGAUGAAAUACGGACAGUAAAAAAAUCUCUAAAUAUAUAUUAAUGUUUGUUGUAGAGUUGCGUUGUUGAUUUGAACAAAUACGCAUGUGAAAGCUUGAAGUCGAAUCAUCCAGAGACAGGUGUGUGUCAUUUUCUGAAUCUGAGUUUUUUUUUUCUUUUUUUUAGAUUUUUGUUUGUUGUGUGAAAUUUGAUUAUUGGUGCUGGUUGAGAUUUGUUGUGUGAUAGAUAUUGUACUGAUUGCAAUUCGUGAGGUAUUGGGUGUUCCAAGGGAAGCACUGAAUUAGCGGGUCAGGGUUGGGUUGAAAAUUACUACACUGGCUCAUUAUCUAUUAAAUAAAAAUACUUAUUUCUGAAAUCGGCCCCUUCCGACCAUUACCUACCUUUUAGUCAAUCGGCUCAUUCUGACCCGGACCCGUCUUCACCCACCAUGCUACCCGCUCCGCAAUUUUUGUCUGGUCUAAUGUUCAGCAUGGUAAAAAAUAUAUAAAAAAGACUAAAAACUAAAAUUGUAUGGUUUAAACAGGUUGAAUUACAUCUUAAAUCAUUUUACUAAAAGCUAAAAUUGUAAGUGCUCUAUUUUCCAUCUUAAAGAAUGUAUUGUCAUAUCUGCAAAUGUUUUGUAUCAGAACUGGUAUGCUUUACUUCUACUUCCAAUUUAAUUACUAGGGACACUAACUUGGGUUUUGGGGUAUCAGACUCCAUGGCAACUUCAGAGGUAUGCGGCUGUUAUAGUAGCUUGUUUCUAUGUUAGUUAAAGAUCUAAAGGUGUUCUUUAUUUCAAUUGUUGUUGAAACAGUCAUAUUUUUGCUUUUUUUAUUGUAAUUUCAGAUAGUUCUGUGAUUAGUUUUCGAGUGACAAUUUACGAGGGUCAAAAUGAUGAAGAAACUCAUCUUUUUCAAGGGAUCCACAUCUAGCAAUGGAUCAAACAAUCUAGCAUCAUCUCUAUUAAGAGAUAAACAGUUCCACUCGGAGAACUCAUCGGGGGAUGGGCUUCAAGGGGCCCGUAAAUCCAGAUCCAAAAAGGCCGCAUAGGAAAAUCAUGAUCAAAAUCCAACCAGCCCGUUUCUUAGAAGGUGCUGAUCGUAUUCUUCUGGUGCUUUUCCUAAUUCAGCACUGUUAAGAGCUCAAACCGACUCUCCUUCUAGCAGCAGUAGUAAUAUCUCACAAAAGCAAUCUGCUUCUUGUUCUUCACAUCGAGCUCUUACCCCUGAGAGGCCUUCAAGGUCAAAAUGGUUUCGGGCUCUUCCUGUAACAGCCAACUUUUAUCCAUUUUUGAGCAAUACAUCUGCAGUCUGGAGGGAUCACUGGAGGGAUCACUUUAUUUUCGAAGAGGACGAGGAAGCGAUAAUCGUAGAACCAUCCAAGCGCGGAAAGUAUUGUGUUGUUUUCGACCCGUUGGACACUUGGAUGGAUCUUCCAACAUCGACUGUUGUGUUUCCAUAGGAACUGGAGAAGAACAGAAGAAACUGGAUGUUUUGUCGAAUGAAGUUUUUGUGAAGGCUUUGGUCAGCACUGGCAGAACAGAUACCUUUCAAAAUUUGCUGCUAUUGAGAAAAGUGAGACCAUCUUAUCAGAGGGUGAAGUGGCAUCUCUUCUUUUUAGCUUUUGCUUAGGGUUCAACUCGAGCUUGAGCUCGAACUUAAAUGAGCCGGCUCAGCUAGGGUCAAGAAGUUAUUGAAGCCCAUUAUCUUUAUGGGUCGGAUUACUGACAAUAUUGAUAUCAUUAUUCACCCUCAGUCUAUAUCAUACAUUCCAUGGUUGAGACACAGGAUUCAUCUGUUCUACCACACUUAGGAUGGCCCGAUAUGUGUUUGCCAAUUUUGUAUACUUUAUCAUGGCCUGAUAGAAUACCAUGCUCUGAGAUCACAAGGCCUCAUUUUGAUUUCUGCAACAUGAUCAGCUAAAUGUGACGAACCAAUGCACCAUCUCAGCUUGCAGUUUGAGCUUUUGCCUCGAAGGAAAUGGUAGUUAAAACUUAAAAGAAGGGUUUGGGCUAUUUUGGGAAAUGUGAAGGAAAUGCUUCCCAUUUGAGCUUUAAUUCAAGUGAAGGCUGAAGGUUAUGGUUCCCUAAAGAUAAAGAGUGUUCUUAACAAAAUUAUAUAUUAUCAAUUUGUAACAUUGUUAUACUUAUAGUUGUUGUAAGCUAUGCAUUAAAGGUUUUACAUGUUAUUCUUUAUUGUAGGUUCUUAUAUUUUUUUUGUUUAUUUUCUUUCAGUUAUCUUUUAGUGUUUUUUUCUACAUUUUCUUUUUUGUUCUUCGCAGCGGUCCCGUGCACAAUGCGCACGGAAGUAUAGACCUAGUUUGAUUUAAUUUCUUUAACUGAUUGUGGUAGUUUUGGUAUGGUUAAAAUGGUGGAGUAGCUGACCAUUUAACCUUAGCAUGACCCACACCAUCAUCAAGUAAAGUUACAAUUUUCUUGAACUUAACCGAUGCAUCUCCUGUUUGGACCAUCAAGUUUUUGUACUGAGUUUGAUCUUGUGGUUUAACCAACAGGCUGAAAAUUUUAUGGAAACUUUCAACAACUCUAUUAGCAGCUUCAACUUCUUCCAUAUCUUCGCUCAAAAUAAAAGAUUAACAAAAA